AGGGCAGUAAAAACUUAAUUAAAUCAAUUUUAGCAGCUGAGGAUAUUGUAUGGGCAGCCACCUGUCUAUCAGCCUGUCCUCCGCCCAUCACUCACUGCGCCUGACCGGAGUCGUUUCACCACACUACUAGAGCUGUGGUGGAAUGGACUCAUUGUUUAGGGACAAGAAUUGCAGAGAAACUACAGCCAGACUUUUCAUUACUAGCUGUACCUACAGCAACUUGUACUGCCAAACAGAGCAAGAAAAGAAAGACCAAACUGGAGAAGGCUACAAACAAAAAGACAUUAGAUAGUCAUUAAACAAGAAUCAGCAUUGGAGUGGCUCUUCAACAAUGGAGACAACUCAUGGAGUCGAAGGCCUGAAGACGGACUCUGUGGUGUCUCUGUUGGACAGGCCAAAUCAGUAGAGGAUUGCGACACCAGUAGCCUAACCUGUUGGCCAACACUGACCUGUAUUUUUAAUCGUCAAGAAACCUCUGGAUGUCCUUCCUGUAUAUAGGUGUUUAUGCUAAUUAUACUGUAUAGUGUCUAAAAGAUAAAAGGUAUACUAUUUUUGUAGUUGUAUUUAUUUACAUGUGUUCCAAUUUGUUUGUUUUACCUCAUUGUACCUUGGACAUAUCCUGAAGGAUCUCAAUGAGAGUAACUCUUACAUUUUGAAGAUCUUUCUGGCUGCCAGUAAAAAUAUGAUUACAAAAUGUUGGCUCCAGAGGAACCCUCCUACCAUCAUCCUUCUUAUCAGUAUAAUCAACUAUAUAUGCACUAUGGAGAAAAUGACUUACACUAUUGAAUUACAAAAGGAGAAGGGAGACAAAUAUUGGAAAAAAAUGGGACUGUUUAGAUAUAGAUCUAAAAUUUAUAUGUAUAUGUGUACUGUAACUUUUUAUUUUUAUUUUUCUAACUAAUUUUGGCUUAUCCCUACUUUGUAUAUGUAAAGAUUCUAGACCUCAC